GCCAUUUUUUUGUGUUUUUAGUGGAGACAGGUUUUCACCAUGUUGGCCAGUAGUGUAUUUAGUUAUUUAAGGAGGGCUCAAUCAACAGGUUUAAAUGGUGUGCUAUUCAUAAUUAUUGCAAAAAUAGGCCGGGCCUGUAAUUCCAGCACUUUGGGAGGCCAAGGCAGGUGAAUCACUUGAGGCCAGGAGUUUGAGAUCAGCCUGGCCAACGUGGUGAAACUCCAUCUCUACUAAAAAUACCAAAAGUAGCGGGCGUGGUGACAGGUGCCUCUAAUCCCAGCUACUCGGGAGGCUGAGGCAGGAGAAUCGCUUGAACCCAAGAGUCGGAGGUUGCAGUGAGCCGAGAUCGCGCCAUUGCACUCCAGUGUGGGUGACGAGCGAAAAUCCGUCUCAACCAAGAAAAAAGAAAAAAAGAAAAAGAAAACUUAACUGGCCUUUGGGGCACAUGCCUGUAAUCCCAGCUUCUUGGGAGGCUGAGGCAUGAGAAAAAAAAUAAACCUGGGAGGUGGAGGUUGCAGUGAGUUGAGAUUGUGCCACUGCACUCCAGCUUAGGCAAUAAAACAAGACUGUCUCAAAAAAAAAAAAAAAAAAAACUUAUUGAGAGAAUAAUAUACCACUAAUAUUUAAAGAAAUUUUUGGCUGGUGUGAGCCACAGCGCCCGGCCAAAAAAAGGAAUUUUUAAGAGGAAAAAGAAUGCUACCAACCUAAACACAUUUCUGUGACUGUUUAUAUUUUUCCCUGUUCCACAUACAUACAUUUUUACAUAGUACGUUCAUUGCAGCAUGAGUUACUUUUCACUUAAUAAAUUUUAAACAUUUUCCAGCUGGGUGUGGUGGCUCAUGCCUGUAAUCCCAACACUUGGAGAGGCCAAGUCAGGCUUAUUGGGUGAGUCCAGGUGUUUGAGACUAGCCUAGGCAACAUGGCGAAACUGCAUCUCUACAAAAAAUACAAAAAUUAGCCAGGUGUGCUGGCGCACACCUGUAGUCCCAACUACUCAGGAGGCUGAGGUGGGAGGAUUGCUUGAGCCCAGGAGGUAGAGGUUGCAGUGAGCCAUGAUCAUGCCACUGCACUCCAGCCUAGGUGACAAAGCACAACCCUCAAAUAAAUAAAUAAAUACAUGUUAAACAUAUACCUUUAUUACUUCAUUUUUGUAAGAGCUUCAGGGAAUAGGCUUUUUUAAAGGGAAUAGACUUAUAGAUCAAUUUUAAUAUUUGACUUAUAGAAUUUUAUGACACUAAAUGGAUAAUUGUAAAGUUUGAGUUGGGACCCAUUUUUUAAGACAUUCAGGCUAUAAACAAGGUAAUAAAUCACACUCUUCCAGUUCUACUCCCAAUUUAAUUGGUUUACAGUUCGGUGGCUGUCUUUU
rnacentral:lncRNA from 10 species